rfam:Rachicladosporium antarcticum strain CCFEE 5527 scaffold_18, whole genome shotgun sequence.
CAGUCUUCCACCGCGCUCGGUCUUGCACCCUCCCAGACAGAUCUUGAGCAGGACGCAGCACCUGCUGUGCAAGACAAGAUCAACCACCACUCGACGGUCUUUGAGUACGACGAAGUCUAGCAACAAAUCCCUACGACUUUGGAACGUAAUUUACCUGUCGAGACACCU